UACGUAGGGGGCGAGCGUUGUCCGGAGUUACUGGGCGUAAAGGGUGUGUAGGCGGUUGUUUAAGUUUGGUGUGAAAUCUCCCGGCUCAACUGGGAGGGUGCGCCGAAUACUGAAUGACUUGGAGUGCGGGAGAGGAGAGUGGAAUUCCUGGUGUAGCGGUGAAAUGCGUAGAUAUCAGGAGGAACACCGGUGGUGUAGACGGCUCUCUGGACCGUAACUGACGCUGAGACACGAAAGCGUGGGUAGCAAACAGG
rnacentral:rRNA from 1 species